rnacentral:rRNA from 1 species
GACGAACGCUGGCGGCGUGCUUAACACAUGCAAGUCGAACGGAAAGGCCCGGCUUUGGUGGGGUGCUCGAGUGGCGAACGGGUGAGUAACACGUGAGUAACCUGCCCUUGACUUUGGGAUAACUUCAGGAAACUGGGGCUAAUACCGGAUAGGAGCUCCUGCUGCAAGGAGGGGGUUGGAAAGUUUCGGCGGUCGGGGAUGGACUCGCGGCUUAUCAGCUUGUUGGGGGGGUAGGGGCUUACCAAGGCUUUGACGGGUAGCCGGCCUGAGAGGGUGACCGGGCACCUUGGGACUGCGAUACGGCCCAGACUCCUACGGGAGGCAGCAGUGGGGAAUAUUGCACAAUGGGCGGGAGCCUGAUGCAGCAACGCCGCGUGCGGAAUGACGGCCUUCGGGUUGUAAACCGCUUUCGCCUGUGACGAAGCGUGAGUGACGGUACUGGGUAAAGAAGCACCGGCUAACUACGUG